UGCUGGAGCAUUUGCACUGCACAUUUUACUAUUAAAGAGGAGUAUGAAUAUUUCUUAUUUAACAAAAAAUAUCAACGUUAAGUAAAUAUCUUUUAACAUAAAAACACGAAGUAUAGAUAAAUUGUAGCAUACGUGUAAGUUGAUAUUAAGUUAACUGUCUGUGUUUUUACCUCAGGUAAACUCAGCAAGCUUUCUAAGUUACUUCAGAUGCUGGCGAUAAGUCUUGAGGUCUGAACAAUUUUACAGGACACCACCAUCGCUAAAAGCAAAGCGGCUCAAUUCUUUAAUGGAGGACAGCAGAGAUGUUGCACAGUAAGGGCAAGAACGCAGAACAAAGACACAAGAAAGUAUGUAAAACUAAAAAAAAACAUUUAUUUUUAAAACCAAGCUGACUUAAACCACUAUAAUUUAUG